AACGCCUAAAACCAACAAAGAAGGUCCUCGUCGUAAUCAUCAUCAUUCUUUUUAUCUUGUUGGUUAUCUUCUUCGGACUUUUCAUCGCCUUUUGCGUCAAAUACGAUGAAAAGAACGGCUCGACUGAGAUCAUUUCCACUUUCGUUCCGUCAGAAAAUGUCUGCCAAACGUUCGAUUGUCUGGAAUCAGCUGCCUAAAUUGCCAAAAGCAUCAACACCAGUGUGGAUCCAUGCGACAACUUCUACCAGUUCGCCUGCGGACGCUGGAUGGCCGAGCAUCCCAUACCCUUGGAUUCCAGUGGAAUUAAUAAUUUUAUUCUUAUAGCAAACGAGAUUAAACAGACAC